ensembl:lncRNA
GGAACUGAUGGAGAAGUCAAGGAGGAGCCUCAGAGAAGGUCUGCUAGAUUAUCAGCGAAACCAACGCCUCCAAAACCUGAACCCAAACCGAAAAAAACUCCCAAGGUAUGUACACUUUUUAAAAACACAUUUUUGCACUGGUGCUCAUGUCACUUGUCUCCAUGGGUUGCUGUGUAAUCUCAUACGUAUUGCUCUAUAUUCAUUCUUUUGCUCUGACAGAAAGAGAAGGAAGUGAAUGAUAAAAAGGAAGAAAAGAAAGCAAAGGCUGAGGAAUCCAAGGAGGAAAACCAAUCAGAAAAUGGGGAGACUAAGACCAAUGAGGUUGAAAAAACUCCAGACGAGGCGGCGGAGCCCGAGAAGGAGGACCCGAAGACAGAGUAGCACCACACUUGUCCAUCCAUCUGUCCAUCCGUCCAUCCUUUCCCUUUCCCCCUUUCCUUUCUUUUAUCUUCCUCUCUCUUUCCCAGUUUUCUCUCUCCCUUUCCAGUUCUCUCAGCAACCUCCUCUCUGCCCAUCACAACCAGAGGAAUAUUUUUAUCAGCGAAUUUGUAAAUACUGGUUCAGGUUUUUAGCACAAAAACAAAGCUGACUAAAUCGAGUCUUGUGUUCGGCCGCAGCUGUAUCAGGUGUCUACAACACGAGAGGUGUGAAAAAGGCGGCAUCUUUCUUUAAUUUUGUUGAUUUUCUAUUUUUAUUUCUUCUUUUUUUUUUUUUUUUUUUUUUUUUUUAAGCGGAUGGUCUGUAGCUUGGUUUUGGAGUGGGAGGAGGCUCUCAGUCUGUAUGUCCGUUAGUGCUCGUGAUGUUUCUGUAUGGGGUUUGUUUUAUUUUUUCUUUUAAACGUAAUUGAUUGUCUUUAAGAAAGAGAAAUGAGUUCAACAAAUGUAGAAGAAAAGAGAGAAAACAAUAAAAGACAAACUGCGUACA